ensembl:lncRNA
AGAUAACCCCGACUCAGGACACUAAUAACUCAACUCCAAUACAGUAAGAUAACCCCGACUCAGGACACUAAUAACUCAACUCCAAUACAGUAAGAUAACCCAGACUCAGACUCAGAACACUAAUAACUCAACUCCAAUACAGUAAGAUAACCCCGACUCAGGACACUAAUAACUCAACUCCAAUACAGUAAGAUAACCCAGACUCAGACUCAGAACACUAACUAACACCUAAACUACUAACAGUAAGAUAACUCAGAACACUAACUAACAGCUAAACUACUAAGAUAACUCAGAACACUAACUAACAGCUAAACUACUACGGUAACUCAGGACACUAACUAACAGCUAAACUACUACGGUAACUCAGGACACUAACUAACAGCUAAACUACUAAGGUAACUCAGGACACUAACUAACAGCUAAACUACUAAGGUAACUCAG